GAUGAACGCUGGCGGCGUGCCUAAUACAUGCAAGUCGAGCGAACGGACGAGAAGCUUGCUUCUCUGAUGUUAGCGGCGGACGGGUGAGUAACACGUGAAUAACCUACCUAUAAGACUGGGAUAACUUCUGGAAACCGGAGCUAAUACCUGAUGAUAUUUUGAACCGCAUGGUUCAAAAGUGAAAGACGGUCUUGCUGUCACUUAUAGAUGGAUCCGCGCUGCAUUAGCUAGUUGGUAAGGUAACGGCUUACCAAGGCAACGAUGCAUAGCCGACCUGAGAGGGUGAUCGGCCACACUGGCACUGAGACACGGUCCAGACUCCUACGGGAGGCAGCAGUAGGGAAUCUUCCACAAUGGGCGAAAGCCUGACGGAGCAACGCCGCGUGAGUGAUGAAGGUCUUCGGAUCGUAAAACUCUGUUAUUAGGGAAGAACAUAUGUGUAAGUAACUGUGCACAUCUUGACGGUACCUAAUCAGAAAGCCACGGCUAACUACGUG
rnacentral:rRNA from 1 species